GGCCUGGAGAAGAGCGGGUG
rnacentral:snRNA from 1 species